GACGAACGCUGGCGGCGUGCUUAACACAUGCAAGUCGAACGGAAAGGCCCUGCUUUUGUGGGGUGCUCGAGUGGCGAACGGGUGAGUAACACGUGAGUAACCUGCCCUUGACUUUGGGAUAACUUCAGGAAACUGGGGCUAAUACCGGAUAGGAGCUCCUGCUGCAUGGUGGGGGUUGGAAAGUUUCGGCGGUUGGGGAUGGACUCGCGGCUUAUCAGCUUGUUGGUGGGGUAGUGGCUUGCCAAGGCUUUGACGGGCAGCCGGCCUGAGAGGGUGACCGGCCACAUUGGGACUGAGAUACGGCCCAGACUCCUACGGGAGGCAGCAGUGGGGAAUAUUGCACAAUGGGCGGAAGCCUGAUGCAGCAACGCCGCGUGCGGGAUGACGGCCUUCGGGUUGUAAACCGCUUUCGCCUGUGACGAAGCGUGAGUGACGGUAAUGGGUAAAGAAGCACCGGCUAACUACGUG
rnacentral:rRNA from 1 species